GAUGAACGCUGGCGGCGUGCCUAAUACAUGCAAGUCGAGCGAACGGACGAGAAGCUUGCUUCUCUGAUGUUAGCGGCGGACGGGUGAGUAACACGUGGAUAACCUACCUAUAAGACUGGGAUAACUUCGGGAAACCGGAGCUAAUACCGGAUAAUAUUUUGAACCGCAUGGUUCAAAAGUGAAAGACGGUCUUGCUGUCACUUAUAGAUGGAUCCGCGCUGCAUUAGCUAGUUGGUAAGGUAACGGCUUACCACGGCAACGAUGCAUAGCCGACGUGAGAGGGUGAUCGGCCACACUGGAACUGAGACACGGUCCAGACUCCUACGGGACGCAGCAGUAGGGAAUCUUCCGCAAUGGGCGAAAGCCUGACGGAGCAACGCCGCGUGAGUGAUGAAGGUCUUCGGAUCGUAAAACUCUGUUAUGAGGGAAGAACAUAUGUGUAAGUAACUGUGCACAUCGUGACGGUACCUAAUCAGAAAGCCACGGCUAACUACGUG
rnacentral:rRNA from 1 species